rnacentral:rRNA from 1 species
GGGUCAGUAGGUUGGUCGUGCCACCGGUACGUACUGGUCUCACUGAUUCCUCCUUCCUGAAGAACCGUAAUGCCAUUAAUUUGGUGUUGCGGGGAAACAGGACUGUUACUUUGAAAAAAUUAGAGUGUUCAAAGCAAGCUAACGCUUGAAUACAUUAGCAUGGAAUAAUGAAAUAGGACGAUCGAUCCUAUUUUGUUGGCUUCUAGGAUUGACGUA